UACGAAGGGGGCUAGCGUUGCUCGGAAUUACUGGGCGUAAAGGGCGCGUAGGCGGAUAGUUUAGUCAGAGGUAAAAGCCCAGGGCUCAACCUUGGAACUGCCUUUGAUACUGGCUAUCUUGAGUUCGGGAGAGGUGAGUGGAAUGCCGAGUGUAGAGGUGAAAUUCGUAGAUAUUCGGCGGAACACCAGUGGCGAAGGCGACUUACUGGACGAUUGUUGACGCUGAGGUGCGAAAGCGUGGGGAGCAAACAGG
rnacentral:rRNA from 1 species